CUCAUCAAAUAUGUAUAAAACAUAAAAAACAUUCCAAAGUCUGGGAAUGUAAACAAUUAUGGAUGUGCUCCACUAACAGUAAAGGAACGGCUGUGUGUUAACAUAAUAGCUGUUUUUGACCAGUAAUUCAAAGCUGUUACUUCUUCCUACUCCUUUUCGGAUAGACCUAUGUAUAUGGUAAUCUCAAUCUCAGAACCCUGAACUCCUACCUUGUUGAAGGAAGGCUAGGAGAUACCGGAAAGGAGGAUGGCUGUCUUCUUCAUCACAUGGUUGGGCUUCCUCACAGACAAGAUGCCUAUAAAGAAAGAGAGGAGGAUACAAUGUAGAAACAAGACGAAUAGCAGGGAGAGAGAGCAAGAGAAAGAAUGAGAGACAUACCAGAGGUGAUGCUGUGGGUUGAGCCGGGUGGUGGAGAUCCCCUUCAGUUUGCUGUCAGACUUUGGAGCCAAUUCCCUUGCAAUGUCUGCACAAAAGCAAUGAGC